rnacentral:rRNA from 1 species
AGGACGAACGCUGGCGGCGUGCCUAACACAUGCAAGUGGAGCGACGAACCAGGGCUUGCCCUGGGGCAGAGCCGCGAACGGGUGAGUAACACGUGGGUUACCUGCCUUGAUGACCGGGACAACCCGAGGAAACUCGGGCUAAUACCGGAUGUGCCCGCAAGGGGAAAGGAAGCUUCGGCCUCCGCAUCAAGAUGGGCCCGCGGCCCAUUAGCUUGUUGGUGAGGUAACGGCUCACCAAGGCUUCGAUGGGUAGCUGGUCUGAGAGGACGAUCAGCCACACUGGGACUGAGACACGGCCCAGACUCCUACGGGAGGCAGCAGUGGGGAAUCUUGCGCAAUGCGCGAAAGCGUGACGCAGCAACGCCGCGUGGGGGAAGAAGGCUUUCGGGUGUAAACCCCUUUCAGUUGGGACGAAGCUUCUCCGGUGAAUAGCCGGAUGGAGUGACGGUACCUUCACAAGAAGCACCGGCUAACUACGUGCCAGCAGCCGC